UUCCGAUACCCAUUCAUAAUAAAAAUGUUUUGAUUAUAUAGUUAAAAACCAUUGAAUCCUCUAUUUAAAAUAAAAAUUAAAAAAAAUACUCGAUUUAAAAAAAUAAUAUUAAAUAAUAAAAAUAAUCAAUCAAUCCUAGUCCCUCUGAUUAAAUAAAAAAAAUCCUCGAUUUAAAAAAAAAUAAUCAAUCAAUCAAUAAUUGAAAUAAUUCAAUCCGAUAUAAUCAAUCAAUCCUAGUCCCUCUGAUUAAAUAAAGAAAAUCCUCGCUUUAAAAAAAAAUAAUCAAUCAAUAAUUGUAUUCUGUAAUAUGUAAAUAAUCAAUCAAUAAUCCUAGUCCCUCUGAUUACACAAUCAAUUAAAUAAUAAACAGAGAAAUGAUUAUGCUGAAAUAAAUAAAUAAAUAAAUAUAAUGUAAAAUGAAACGCACCUCCCCCUACGCAACGUUUUUUCCAACCCGAAACUGAACGACCUUCUCCCACAAGCGCCGAAAGGCAAAUGAACUCUCUAACGGUCAUUCAUCAAAACAGUUUCAGUUCGCAAAAAGCUGUGACGACAUGAAAAAAAAGAUACCAGACACGUCAAUCAACAGUGACCGCGCCAUCUGUUAAAAAGAUGAUACCGGGAAAUCCCCCGCCGCGCGGUCGAAACGAGAAACUGUGACCUUGAACUCGUUUUCCCUACUUCUAGAGUAAGAUGUAACAAGUACCUAAUGUUACAAAGUUACUCUUUAAUAAGAGAGAAUAUGGGGUUUUUUUCCCGCGCAUCGCAGCGCAUCGGUGUUGGCGCUGCGUUAGAAGCCAGUUAAGCCCUUUAAAAGCCAGUUAAAAAUUUGAUUAACACUUUCGGUUAAGGUCUCGCUAGACAUAUCCUUUUUACUGCUGUUCCUGGUUUACCUGCUCGUUUGCAACUUUUCACUCAUGGCUUCGAAUGAUAUUUUUGAUGAAGAUUUUUUGCAAGCUACUAAUGAGCUUUGUGUUCUUUUAGGACGUAAUAUUUCGGAACUUAAAUUUACAGAGCUAAAACGGUUGAUUAAACAAAGAUCUCUUUCUUGGCAUCCAGACAAGAACAAGGAUAAUCCAAGGAAGGCGAUUUUGGAGGAACAACUGAAAAGGUUAAAUGCCGCGUGGACAACAUAUAAAUUGCUUACCCCUGGGACAAGCCAGGAAUGUAAUUCAAGUGAGGAGAGUGACAAAGAUUCCGACAUAUUUUCAACUGAAAAAAGUAAAGAUGAUUCCUUUUCGGAAUGCAUGGGGGAGAAAAACGGGGAAGACUUUUACGCGUCAUGGAACACCUCUUAUUCGUCGGAAUUUUUUUAGGAGUGAAAGUUGCAGACGAGCAGGGCAUAAUUCUUUAUAAAAUUUGUUUGAUGCCAAACAUCAGAAUGAAUUUCUAUAGAUAUGAAAUUGAGCUUCAUGACAUUGAUACUCAAAAGUAUGGAAAGUUAUAAAAGUUUUUCAGUUGAAAUGCAAAGAUGGAGCUAAUCUAAGCCUAAGACAUUAAUCAGGUAUGGAAAGUUAUGAAAGUUUCUCAGUUGAAAUGCAAAGUAGGAGCUAAUCUAAGCCUAAGACAUUAAUCAGGUAUGGAAAGUUAUGAAAGUUUCUCAGUUGAAAUGCAAAGAAGGAGGUAAUCUAAUCCUAAGACAUUAAUCAGGUGUGGAAAGUUAUGCAAGUUUCUCAUUUGAAAUGCAAAGAAGGAGCUAAUCUUAUCCUAAGACAUUAAUCAGUUAUGAAAGGGACUUGGUUGAUAUGCAAAGAAGUAGCUAAACUAAAGACAUUAAUCAGGUAUAAAAAGUUAUGAAAGUGACUUGGUUGAAAUGCAAAGAAGGAGAUAAACUAUUCUUGAGACAUUAAUCAGGAAACCUCUCGUCUCUUAGCUUCUUUUAGAGAAGUACUGAAAUUCAAGUUACUUCAAUGCCGAUAUUCUUCUGUUGGCGCCAAUAAGUCAGCAGAACGCUCCGCCUACUAAUUUUGUAGCUCCACCAAAUGGUGAAAUCAUAUAACCUUUUGAGUGUAUGUGUGAAUUCCAGAGAGAGGGUGUGUUGGGGAGUGUUGAGAAUAAAGGAACAGAGAUACAGUCCAAGAGUUUGUGUUUCAUUUUUAUGUGAUUGAGUUUUCUAAAAACUGAGCAAUCGAGGGCCAAAACAUCUUCUGAAUCUUAAUGGUAUUCAGAUGGAAUUCUUAUGUAUUUUCCUAUACAUCUGACUUUGAAUUAUGGAAGAAGAAAUAUACUAUAUUUUACGCAUACGUAUUUCAUUUUUUUUUUUUUUUCUGAAAAAUAAAAGUCAAGAUUAUGUGGCCAAAUAUGGAUAGCAAUGGCAUCAUUGA